CACCACAACACUAUCCAGCCUCAAACGGUGCACACGUACCAUUCAAUGACACUGCUUGGCCUUUAUUCCUUGAGCAAAAGUGAUCCAGGAGCAUGUUAAGUAAGAGUAAAGAUUAGGAGCAGGGAGACGUUUCUGCACAGAAGAAUGUUGUCGAAGGCACAAUUUGGGCGAAACGAAUCUGUGUGACAAUUUGAACAACGACGAAAACGUCAGAUGUAUGAUUAAGGGAGAGAAGACGGAGAGUUCGUUGAGCGAUGCAGGUUAAACAACAGAUUGCAAACUGCACGAAACGGCCCGUACCGCUCGUUGGCUUGCGCGAGGCCGGCCCGGGUAGAGAUGGUGGUGGAGAAAAUGCAGUAGAGUACUUUCGCAAACAAGGAAGAAUCUCCUCUCAUGAUGCAUUGGAAAUCAUCUGGUAUCAUGCCGCCAACAGAAAGGCACAAAUGGAAGAGGCACUGAAAAGUGGUGCACAUAUGAUUGAAGCCGAUAUUCUUAUUGGGAGCCAUGGAUCGCAUAGAGGAGAGCCAAUCAUGGCACAUCCUCCUGAAACUGACAGUGACAACACAUUGUAUAAUUGGCUGAGUGAAGUACGGCAAUCAGACAAGGGAAUCAAGUUGGAUUUUAAGAGUUUGUCAACUGUGGAACCUGCUAUGAAAAUGUUGGUAUCAAUGAAGGAUCUUCUCACACGACCGGUUUGGAUCAAUGCAGAUAUUCUUCCCGGACCAAAUGAAAGCAAAGAUUUUUUAUGCAUAGUAACUUCAUACUUGCCACAUGUAACGCUGUCUCUUGGUUGGAAAACUGAUGAGUUGGUUAACCAAACAAGUCUUGUUUACACCUGGGAGAUGGUGAAGGAGAUGGAGCAAAUUUGUCAGCCACUCAGUCAACCAGUAACGUUCCCAGUUAGAGCAGCAUUGGUUCGUCCAUCCUGGCCACAGCUGUCUUGGUUGCUGGAGCAAUCAGAAAGGAACUUGCUGUGUGGAAAUUGGCUGCCACUUUUUUUUAGAAACAACAAUUCUUUGGCUGUAAAAUACUUUGUGGAAUAUCUUCAGGUAGUGCAAGAUGCUGCCUGGUUUGCUGUGUUCUUCCAGCCUCCUGUUUGUCUACUACCUUCCUGCAAUUUGUUCGUAGGCCCUGAAAGCUGACGUGACAAAAGAAAAUCUGAAAUGUGACCCCUGGGCUGCAGGCAACAGAUUGGUGAAUGAACCUCCAGUAGCAUUACACCCGCACAAUCCUACCGUAACAGUUUUACUCUGAUCAAUCAGUGAGACGAUUAAAGGAUUUUAAAAAUUCACCCCCACAAACCAAAUCUGGAAAAUGCUUCCCAGUCAUUUUUUUUCAGAGCAACAGUCUUGCUCAGCCGCAUAUUGUCUAAAGUCCAAAGGGUCAAUCUGUUCUCAAAAUGUCCCUCCGCCAAUUUCUCUCCCUCCCGUGAGAUUUUACUGUCAAUCGCCACUCUCGAGUGUUUUACUGAAUUGAAUGCAGUUGGCCCACUGGCACCGCACUGGGUAUUAAAUGUUAAAUAUUUAUUCGCUACCCUUCACACUGAUAGGCUGAACUAGGUUUUUACCUGCAAAGGAAGGGUCGUCCUUGUAAUAUUUCUCUUUGUAUUCUGUUACCAAAUGAUACAGUCUCGAGACAGUUUCAUCAUGAGAAAGGCACCUCCAGCCGCCAUUGACAUACUCGUCGAUGGAGAAUGUAGUCAAACUCGGGUCAUUCGGAGUAACCCGGAGUUUAUCUUUCCGCAAGGGGAUCAGUACAUCAAGUUCAUCGACAGCCUCGGCUUUCGUUCCGUCAGCAAUACUUCCCACUUGGAUGAAGCAAUUCUCAAACAAAUCGUCUCGACUGUGAAUAAACUCCAGAAGCUGUUCCAGCAUCAACUGUAAAGUGCGCUUCUUACCCUUUUCGCCUGGCUCCUUUUUCACAAAACUUGUGUAAUACUUUUGCAGAGGCUCUUCCAGAACCUCGCUCAUUGCAAGGAUUUGCAAUUCCAUUUUAACUUAGUUCGUUUUGCAGGAAUUCUGGACUUUUAGCUGCAGUUUUGUUUGCAUCUAAAACACUUGAGGCGAACCGAGGAUUGCUGGAAGGAAGUGUUUCGGUUUCCUGUCUAAGCAGCCGCUGCUGAUCAAGUAUUUCCCACUGUACAAUGCUUAAUAAGGUCAUAACAAAGUGGAAUCUAAUGGGGAAUUCAGGAGAAAGCUGUUUACACAAAGACUGAUCAAAAUGUGAAAUUAACUGGCGGGGUUAUACCUGGGGUCGUAAAUGGAGAAGCUAAAUGAAGGUUUUGAUGGAGAAAUAAUAGAAGAAUAGGCUGAUAGAUUUAGAGAAAGAGUUUAGAGGUUACUGUGGAACAGAAAGUUCCAGACUGAACCAACAGGGCCAAAUGGCUACUUUCUCAGGCAUCCAGCAGUACCUUGAGGGCUUCCGUGUCUUCAGAAUUUACUGAAUAAAUCAAAGCAGAACCACCUGAGUGAUCUUCCAAACUCGGGUCAGCACCAUUUUCGAGUAGCAAAGCUAUGACCUCUGCACCAGCCUGCUCUAUGCAUGCGUGCAUUAAAGCAGUCUUUCCUGAUUUGUCCUGAAUAUUAGGAUCUGCCUGGUUUUCCAAGAGAUAUUUUACCAUUUUCACUUUGCUGAUGCUUUGUUGGUCCACAUGUUUUGUCUUGCAAGCAAUCAUUAGAGGGGUUUCACCUUGUUCAUUGCUUUCAUUGAUGUAAGCCCCGCCUUCAAGCAGUAACCUGGUGAGGCGCAGUCUACUCAGGUAGACCGCUUUCAACAGAGAGUUACCAUCUGUUCGUACUUCCAUGGCGGUGUCCAUCUCCCAAGGAUCUCUGACUGUCUAGGCGUUCUUGAAAUUUGACACUCAGCCAGGCUGAAAUGAUAAAGUAAAUGUAUUUCAACAACUUAGAUUAUGUGUGACAAACAA